CCGGCAGAGGCGCUGCGGAGGCUCCCGGGAGCGGGCGGCGCGGCGUGAGCGCGGCAAGCGGACAGCGGCGGGGCCUCCCGGGCAGCCAGCGUGGACCGAGAGGCGCGCGUGCCGAGCAUGGCGGGCUCCCUGCCUCCCUGCGUGGUGGACUGCGGCACCGGGUAUACCAAGCUUGGCUACGCAGGCAACACUGAGCCACAGUUCAUUAUUCCUUCAUGUAUUGCCAUCCGAGAGUCGGCAAAGGUGGUCGACCAAGCCCAGAGGAGGGUGUUGAGGGGUGUCGACGACCUGGACUUCUUCAUAGGGGACGAAGCCAUAGAUAAACCCACGUACGCCACAAAGUGGCCAAUAAGACACGGAAUAAUUGAAGACUGGGAUCUAAUGGAAAGGUUCAUGGAACAAGUGAUUUUUAAGUAUCUUCGAGCUGAGCCUGAGGAUCAUUAUUUUUUAAUGACAGAACCUCCACUGAACACACCAGAAAACAGAGAAUAUCUUGCAGAAAUUAUGUUUGAAUCAUUUAAUGUACCAGGACUCUACAUUGCAGUUCAGGCAGUGCUGGCCUUAGCAGCGUCUUGGACCUCGCGACAAGUGGGCGAACGUACAUUAACGGGGAUCGUCAUCGACAGUGGGGAUGGGGUCACCCAUGCUAUCCCAGUGGCAGAAGGGUAUGUCAUUGGGAGCUGCAUCAAACACAUCCCUAUCGCAGGGAGAGAUAUUACGUAUUUCAUGCAACAGCUGCUGAGGGAGCGGGAGGUGGGGAUUCCUCCGGAGCAGUCGCUGGAGACUGCCAAAGCCAUCAAGGAGAAAUACUGUUACAUUUGCCCUGAUAUCGUCAAGGAAUUUGCCAAGUAUGAUGUGGAUCCUCAGAAGUGGAUCAAACAGUACACGGGGAUCAAUGCAGUCAACCAGAAGAAGUUCAUUAUAGACGUUGGCUACGAAAGGUUCCUGGGCCCUGAGAUUUUCUUUCACCCGGAGUUUGCCAACCCAGACUUUAUGGAGUCCAUCUCGGACGUUGUUGAUGAAGUCAUACAGAACUGCCCCAUCGAUGUCCGUCGUCCGCUGUAUAAGAAUGUCGUUCUUUCAGGGGGCUCUACGAUGUUCAGGGACUUUGGACGUCGCCUGCAGAGAGACUUAAAAAGGGUGGUGGACGCCAGACUGAGACUCAGCGAGGAGCUCAGCGGUGGCAGAAUAAAGCCCAAGCCCGUGGAGGUCCAGGUGAUAACGCAUCAUAUGCAGCGCUACGCGGUGUGGUUCGGAGGCUCCAUGCUGGCCUCAACUCUAUGCAGUUUUCCAGCACCAUCUGUAACUGAAGACACGAGAGAUUCAGUUUCCUGUUGACCACAUGAGAAAUGAAGUCACUUAUGUUACAGGGAUGUGGGGAGAAUCAAAUAAGAGACAAGACAUCCACAUGGCAUCCUAAAUAACACAAGGUCAUGUGUAAGUGCUGGAGGACGCUAGCGGUCAGGAGCUCCAGUCAGCCUGGGCCGAGCAUCUGUGGCGAUCUGCAAGGGUGACCUAGUCAUUCAGACCCAAUGGGAGGGGUAUCAGAGGACUCACCAGGAAGGCUGGGUGCACAGAUUUGAUCGAGAAGAUUAGAACACGAUGGAGGAGUGGAUUCCACAUCUAAGCGAUAUCAUAUGAUAUUUAUCUUUCUUUGUCUGGGCCUAGUGUUCUUAUUCUCAUUUUACAGAUGAACAAACAAAGAGGUGGGCUGGGGCCUCGUCAAGCAGGGAGCAAGUGGAGGAGGAGAAGGACUUAAAUAUACCAGGUCCUCGACCCAGGACCACAGACCGCCGGUCCCCAGGGACCUCCAGAAUGUCAAGACCACACAUUUCUGCCGUGCGAUCCCCUCAGCCUGAGGUACUUGGUUACGACAGCCCUAGCAAACGAAUACAGCAUUCAUGGUUCAGAUCCUCAGAAACGCUGGUGCCUCCAAACCACCCCCAACGGCCUGUGUGCUGACUUUGACCACAGCAGCCUGUGAUCUGUGGGGUCACAUGCCGGGCUGCUUCGUAGAACCUUCCAUGAACUUUCUCCUCGAAUUGACCGGCGAUUCUGGGGGUGGAGGGUUCUCAAUAUCUGCCCAACUAGCUUGGAAAAGAGGGAGAAGACCAGAACUUUGCUUAAGCCUAGAACAAAUAUCUUCCCUUGGAUGUCAUCUGAUGCCUUCUAUUUAAAAAAUUUUUUGACUUAAUUUUUUAAUAUAAUUUUAAAGGGUACACUCCAUUUACGGUAAUUACAAGAUAUUGGCUCUAUUCCCCGUGUUGAACAAUACAUCCUCGUAGCCUGUCUUUCACUCAGUAGUUUGCAUGUCCCACUCCCCCAUCCCUAUAUUGCCCCUCCCCUCCCUCUCCCCACUGGUAACCACUAGUUUGUUCUCCAUAUCUGUGAGUCCU